rnacentral:rRNA from 1 species
AUUGAACGCUGGCGGCAGGCCUAACACAUGCAAGUCGAGCGGGGCGGCGGACGGGUGAGUAAGGCCUAGGAAUCUGACUGGUAGUGGGUGAUAAGGUCCGGCAACGGGCGCUAAUCCCGCAUCCUAUCAGAUGAGCCUAGGUCGGGUUAGCUAGUUGGUGGGGUAAAGGCCUACCAAGGCGACGAUCCGUAACUGGUCUGAGAGGAUGAUCAGUCACACUGGAACUGAGACACGGUCCAGACUCCUACGGGAGGCAGCAGUGGGGAAUAGUGGACAAUGGGCGAAGGCCUGAUCCAGCCAUGCCGCGUGUGUGAAGAAGGUCUUCGGAUUGUAAAGCACUUUAAGUUGGGAGGCGUUACCUGCAGAAUAAGCACCGGCUAACUUCGUGCCAGCAGCCGCGGUAAUUC